GGUUAAGCGAACAAGCGUACACGGUGGAUGCCCUGGCAGUCAGAGGCGAUGAAGGACGUGCUAAUCUGCGAAAAGCGCCGGUAAGGUGAUAUGAACCGCUAUAGCCGGCGAUGUCCGAAUGGGGAAACCCAGUGCAAUUCGUUGCACUAUCUCAGCAUGAAUACAUAGUGCUGUGAGGCGAACCGGGGGAACUGAAACAUCUAAGUACCCCGAGGAAAAGAAAUCAACCGAGAUUCCCCCAGUAGCGGCGAGCGAACGGGGAACAGCCCAGAGCCUGAAUCAGCUUGUGUGUCAGUGGAACGGUCUGGAAAGGCCGGCGAUACAGGGUGACAGCCCCGUACACGAAGGCACACAGGCUGUGAGCUCGAUGAGUAGGGCGGGACACGUGAUAUCCUGUCUGAAGAUGGGGGGACCAUCCUCCAAGGCUAAAUACUCCUGACUGACCGAUAGUGAACCAGUACCGUGAGGGAAAGGCGAAAAGAACCCCGGCGAGGGGAGUGAAACAGAACCUGAAACCGUGUACGUACAAGCAGUGGGAGCCUUCGUAAGAGGGUGACUGCGUACCUUUUGUAUAAUGGGUCAGCGACUUAUAUUCUGUAGCAAGGUUAACCGCAUAGGGGAGCCGAAGGGAAACCGAGUCUUAAUUGGGCGUUAAGUUGCAGGGUAUAGACCCGAAACCCGGUGAUCUAGCCAUGGGCAGGUUGAAGGUUGGGUAACACUAACUGGAGGACCGAACCGACUAAUGUUGAAAAAUUAGCGGAUGACCUGUGGCUGGGGGUGAAAGGCCAAUCAAACCGGGAGAUAGCUGGUUCUCCCCGAAAGCUAUUUAGGUAGCGCCUCGUGAACUCAUCUUCGGGGGUAGAGCACUGUUUCGGCUAGGGGGCCAUCCCGGCUUACCAACCCGAUGCAAACUACGAAUACCGAAGAAUGUUAUCACGGGAGACACACGGCGGGUGCUAACGUCCGUCGUGAAGAGGGAAACAACCCAGACCGCCAGCUAAGGUCCCAAAGUCAUGGUUAAGUGGGAAACGAUGUGGGAAGGCACAGACAGCCAGGAUGUUGGCUUAGAAGCAGCCAUCAUUUAAAGAAAGCGUAAUAGCUCACUGGUCGAGUCGGCCUGCGCGGAAGAUGUAACGGGGCUAAACCAUGCACCGAAGCUGCGGCAGCGACACUAUGUGUUGUUGGGUAGGGGAGCGUUCUGUAAGCCUGCGAAGGUGUGCUGUGAGGCAUGCUGGAGGUAUCAGAAGUGCGAAUGCUGACAUAAGUAACGAUAAAGCGGGUGAAAAGCCCGCUCGCCGGAAGACCAAGGGUUCCUGUCCAACGUUAAUCGGGGCAGGGUGAGUCGACCCCUAAGGCGAGGCCGAAAGGCGUAGUCGAUGGGAAACAGGUUAAUAUUCCUGUACUUGGUGUUACUGCGAAGGGGGGACGGAGAAGGCUAUGUUGGCCGGGCGACGGUUGUCCCGGUUUAAGCGUGUAGGUGUGUGUUCCAGGUAAAUCCGGUUCACUUUAACACUGAGGCGUGAUGACGAGGCACUACGGUGCUGAAGUAACAAAUGCCCUGCUUCCAGGAAAAGCCUCUAAGCAUCAGGUAACACGAAAUCGUACCCCAAACCGACACAGGUGGUCAGGUAGAGAAUACCAAGGCGCUUGAGAGAACUCGGGUGAAGGAACUAGGCAAAAUGGUGCCGUAACUUCGGGAGAAGGCACGCUGACAUGUAGGUGAAGCCCCUGCGGGUGGAGCUGAAGUCAGUCGAAGAUACCAGCUGGCUGCAACUGUUUAUUAAAAACACAGCACUGUGCAAACACGAAAGUGGACGUAUACGGUGUGACGCCUGCCCGGUGCCGGAAGGUUAAUUGAUGGGGUUAUCGCAAGAGAAGCUCCUGAUCGAAGCCCCGGUAAACGGCGGCCGUAACUAUAACGGUCCUAAGGUAGCGAAAUUCCUUGUCGGGUAAGUUCCGACCUGCACGAAUGGCGUAAUGAUGGCCAGGCUGUCUCCACCCGAGACUCAGUGAAAUUGAACUCGCUGUGAAGAUGCAGUGUACCCGCGGCAAGACGGAAAGACCCCGUGAACCUUUACUACAGCUUGACACUGAACAUUGAGCCUUGAUGUGUAGGAUAGGUGGGAGGCUUUGAAGCGUGGACGCCAGUCUGCGUGGAGCCAACCUUGAAAUACCACCCUUUAAUGUUUGAUGUUCUAACCUGGCGCCCUAAUCGGGCGUGGGGACAGUGUCUGGUGGGUAGUUUGACUGGGGCGGUCUCCUCCCAAAGUGUAACGGAGGAGCACGAAGGUCAGCUAAUCCUGGUCGGACAUCAGGAGGUUAGUGCAAUGGCAUAAGCUGGCUUGACUGCGAGAGUGACGGCUCGAGCAGGUGCGAAAGCAGGUCAUAGUGAUCCGGUGGUUCUGUAUGGAAGGGCCAUCGCUCAACGGAUAAAAGGUACUCCGGGGAUAACAGGCUGAUACCGCCCAAGAGUUCAUAUCGACGGCGGUGUUUGGCACCUCGAUGUCGGCUCAUCACAUCCUGGGGCUGAAGUAGGUCCCAAGGGUAUGGCUGUUCGCCAUUUAAAGUGGUACGCGAGCUGGGUUUAGAACGUCGUGAGACAGUUCGGUCCCUAUCUGCCGUGGGCGCUGGAGAAUUGAGGGGGGCUGCUCCCAGUACGAGAGGACCGGAGUGGACGCAUCACUGGUGUUCGGGUUGUCAUGCCAAUGGCACUGCCCGGUAGCUAAAUGCGGAAGAGAUAAGUGCUGAAAGCAUCUAAGCACGAAACUUGCCCCGAGAUGAGUUCUCCCUGAGACUGUAAGUCUCCUGAAGGAACGUUGAAGACGACGACGUUGAUAGGCCGGGUGUGUAAGCGCAGCGAUGCGUUGAGCUAACCGGUACUAAUGAACCGUGAGGCUUAACCUU
rnacentral:rRNA from 1 species